GCAUAAUAAAAUAAGAUUUUCAAUAAGUUUAAUACAAUAAAUAAAUGUGGGAGUAUAGCGUUCGAGGGCCUUCCAUCUGAUUGUUUUCUACAGUAAUGAGAAAUCCAUCAGACUUUCUUCCUAUAUAUUCUGACAGAACCUGCACCUAUGGCAUGAAACAGCCCUCCCUUUUAACAUGCCAGGGUCACAGGCUUGCACACUCAGGUCCCAAAAGCCCCUCUCCCAAUACUCUAAUGAACACACACAAAGCUUCUACCAUCGGGGUUUAGAAAUAUGCCUUAAAACUCAUCUCAUUUCUCCCAUUCUCUGUGUGUUUCUCUGAAGAGGCUUUUUCUUGACUGAGCCAUAGGUACUAACCUUGUUCCCUCUGCUCUGGUGUCAGGUGCUCAGGCUUGGUAGACUCUGAGCCCCCCACUCCCUCUCCAGCCUUGGUAGACUCUGAGCCCCCCACUCCCUCUCCAGCCUUGGUAGACUCUGAGCCCCCCACUCCCUCUCCAGCCUUGGUAGACUGAGCCCCCCACUCCCUCUCCAGCCUUGGUAGACUCUGACCCCCCACUCCCUCUCCAGCCUUGGUAGACUCUGAGCCCCCACUCCCUCUCUGGGCUCUCUGGCUGCCCCAGUGCUCCUAGCUGGCUGCUUUCAUGUCCCCUUUCUGAGGAAGUCUGCAGAGACAGCGGAGAUGCUUAGGUCUUCUAUUAACGUUAACACAGCAGCCAGCUAUUACAGGACUCUUCUUGUAUCCCUCCUGGGAUUAGUUGUGGGAGGAGACCAAGAAACCAAAAGCAGCCCCCCCCCCCCCCCCAGCACUGCUGCAAAGCAAGUAACUCAAGUAACUCAGACAGGCAGAGGCCACACCCACCGCCUGCUGGCACAGGACACACCCACCGCCUGCUGGCACAGGAUACUGGUCAUUUGUGCUGGAGCUUGGGUAGCCGGGAAUCCAGGCUCAGCUUGGGAUUCAUCACCCACCCUACACACUGCUGCACUUCUCUUGUAAGCUCAGUGAGUUUAGAAGGAAGGAAAUGUGGGGGUGGGGUGGGGCAGCACGUGGGGGACAGCGCACAGCGUGCAAACCAGCAUACAGCAUAGGAUACAACAGAAACCCUAAGGAAAGUUUUUUUCCAUCCAAACAGUCCGACUAUUUCUUAUCAUAACUUUCCUGCUUUUGUUAGAAUUUCUUUCCAGACUGGCAAAGAUUCAGGCAGGGUCCCCUGAUGGUAAAAGUUAGAUUAAAAAAAUAUUUAUUGAUGUUUCUUUUAAAAAUGUUUGGUGACCCCAACUAAUUCAUCCAAAAUGCAAACUGUAAACACAACAAAUAGCAACAUAGUAACAAUCGAGUGGGCAGCAUCCUGAGGACAGACUGAAGGAGAGGGGGAGGGA
rnacentral:lncRNA from 1 species